rnacentral:rRNA from 1 species
UAGGGAAUUUUCGUCAAUGGGCGCAAGCCUGAACGAGCAAUGCCGCGUGAGCGAAGAAGGUCUUCGGAUCGUAAAACUCUGUUGCGGGGGAAAAAGGAAGGGAAGAGGAAAUGCUUUUCUUUUGAUGGUACCCCGCCAGAAAGUCACGGCUAACUACGUGCCAGCAGCCGCGGUAAUACGUAGGUGGCAAGCGUUAUCCGGAAUGAUUGGGCGUAAAGGGUGCGCAGGCUGCGCGUCAAGUCUGAAGUGAAAGGUACGGGCUUAACCGGUACAGGCUUUGGAAACUGGCACGCUAGAGGACAGGAGAGGGCGGUGGAACUCCAUGUGUAGCGGUAAAAUGCGUAGAUAUAUGGAAGAACACCAGUUGCGAAGGCGACCGCCUGGACUGUUGCUGACGCUCAGGCACGAAAGCGUGGGGAGCAAAUAGG